UGUUAAUUCAGAACUACCAGAACACGUU
rnacentral:sRNA from 1 species